rnacentral:rRNA from 1 species
GACGAACCGUGCGAACGUUGUUCGGAAUCACUGGGCUUAAAGGGCGCGUAGGCGGUUCUCCAAGUCAGGGGUGAAAUCCUGCGGCUUAACCGUAGAAGUGCCUUUGAUACUGGAGAUCUUGAGGGAGGUAGGGGUCCGUGGAACUUCUGGUGGAGCGGUGAAAUGCGUUGAUAUCGUAAGGAACACCCGUGGCGAAAGCGGCUCACUGGGUCUUCUCUGACGCUGAUGCACGAAAGCUAGGGGAGCAAACGGG